CAGUCGCCACGGUAAUCCAGAGGGUGCGAGCGUUAAUCGGAUUUACUGGGCGUAAAGCGUGCGUAGGCGGCUUUUUAAGUCGGAUGUGAAAUCCCCGAGCUUAACUUGGGAAUUGCAUUCGAUACUGGGAAGCUAGAGUAUGGGAGAGGAUGGUAGAAUUCCAGGUGUAGCGGUGAAAUGCGUAGAGAUCUGGAGGAAUACCGAUGGCGAAGGCAGCCAUCUGGCCUAAUACUGACGCUGAGGUACGAAAGCAUGGGGAGCAAACAGGAUUAGAUACCCCGGUAGUCCCUGUCUCUUAUAC
rnacentral:rRNA from 1 species